GGUUGGGAAAGAUGAUUGCUACUGAUGUCAUCAAGCACCCAGACCUUUGGCUACAUCAGAAUGGAGACCCCUGCUGGCUUGAGCCACCGCUGUGCCCUGGUGUCUGGAAUCAGCCCAGCAUGCGAGGGCCUCAGUGAACGUGCCCCGGGUGCUUUUUGGGGAGUGUGGUCUUACUGGAACACUCUCCUGUCGAUUGAGCAGGCUGCUACCCUCUAGCCCCGGCCACUCUGUGGGGAGGAGAGCGCCUGCCCUUUGGCUGCAAGUUGGUACCCUGGCCGGGAUGGUAAUGAGAUCCAGAAACUUGAUGUCCUGUCUUCACUCCUGUCCUUAGACAAUGUUGUUUGUGUAGGGCACGGGACAGCCACCUAAGCCACGAAGCCUAAGACUCCCAAGUGAGGUUUCCUCUUCAGGGGUCUAAUGCGAUCCCCUCCACAACUCUGGACUAGCCACCUCUGGCCGCAACCGCUUCACUGGGAGACAGCA